UUUCGGUCGCUGGUUUUUUCUUCAAUUUGGUUGGUUAGUUGUCACGUAUCAUCUCAUCUUCACUCAUUCUUUGAUUUUUGUUGGUUGUUUAAUGUUAUGUAAGUUCACUGCUCAAUUUGGUUGGUUUCAUCUCAUUUAGUUUCUGCUUAAGUUCACUGUUCAAAGAAACAAUCAUCCUCUGUAUAAGAACGUUUCUCACCUAUACGUUACUCUGUUCAAUCUGUGCUUUAUGACAUACAUUAGUAUUAAACUAUUAAUAAAGCGGUUCCUUGAUAGGAUGUGUACUGUAGACCUUUCCCAAUAGUUUCUUAAUUUUUAGAAUUUUUAGAAUGCAAUAAUCGUAGCUGUAACUUCACAGGUUGCUGCGAGUGUAAUCACUGCCCAUGUGAUGGUGAACUUAGCAAAUGGUGAUGCAGGAAGUGUGUCUGUGUCAUUACUUGAGAAGUCCAGCAUCCUGUCAAAUAAGGUUUGAUCCUUUCUUGAUUGUAUUACUUAAUUCGUAACUAAAUAUGAUUGUAUGCUGAUAAACCCAUUAAGAGCUCAGUUUAAUUUCUAAUUUCAUCAAUUCUCUAAUUUAAUACUUUCCUUAUAGUAUUGAGAUUGUAAAGUUUGCAUCAUAUCUGAUUGUUAUCUUUUUUCUUUCCCUUCAUUGGCAGUUCAGAAGUCUUCCUGCUUUUUCUGAAUUGUUAGCUCAAUACUCACAGCAUGGUUACAGGUAAUAUGUGUGUUAUUGUUAAUUUCUGUUGGAAUUUCUAUGUUUAACUGUGCACUUCUUGUGCGAAGCAUUUGUAUGUCUGGAAACUGAUAUUAUACCCUUCCCUGAAGAUUCUGGAUUUUUACAAGUGCUCCUUCCAGUAAAUGUAUUCUUAUAGUGAGAAAACAGUUCUUCCUAUGAUAUGAUUGAUAUGUGAAACUUUAGUUUCGAGUCCUGGAAGUUACCAGAGUAUAAAGUAAGGAUUUAAAUACAGAACCUUGGAAGAGGUAUCUGAUGCUUUGGUCAAGCAGUACUCUUGUCUCUUGCCUGUGUUCAUAUUCCCUGUAUGUCGGUUGACUACUGAUUACCAGUCCAUUUUCUGGUUUCAAGAGUCAUGUUUGGCUCUUUUUGUGUGUGUGUGGUCACCUCCGUCCAUGUGCAUGUAAGUUGUAACAGUGAUUCUUCAUGUUGUUAUCACCUUAUAUGAUGGGCAUCCCCCAUGACGUGCUGUUGCUUGCCUUAUUUCCAUUGACCUUGAAGUUGAUCUGUUUUCUAGCCUUUGACAGACCAUCUAAGUGGUGACAUGUAACCAUUAGUUUGGGUGGAUUCAAUUUGCAUAGGGUUUAACAGAUAAUUUGAUCUGUAGUUUAUUCUGUUUCACAUAUUGAUCUUUUAAUUACAUAUGUUAUCUCUCAUAUGAAUUUGUUGAGAGUUUUAUCCCACAUCGGGAAAUGGAAGCAAUAAAUGACACAUGUUGUGCAUUUGGCUGCAUAUGAAGAAUUUAUUAUCUUUUUCCAGUGCAGGGAAGGAGCCAAACUAUUUGAUUCUCAGUGAUCUUUAUUAUCAUCUACAAGGAGAGCUUGAAGGCCGUGAAGUCAGUGCUGGACCAUUCAAAGAACUCUCUCUGUUCCUUAUAGAAUCAAAUGUUUUUCAGAUUUACCAACAUAAAUAUGAUGCUGAUCUUUUUGUAACCGGAAAAGAUGCAUACUUGUUUGAUCUUAAACGUGUACGAGCUGAUUUGGGGUUAGAUCUUUGGGAUUAUUCAAAGUGGAAGGCAUCAAAGGCGACUGCAGAAACAAUGUUGAAUCACAUGAAGGCUGCAAACUCAAUGGCGUUGCUUACAAGUUCAAAGCUUUCUGCACUAAGAGCAUUAAGAAGUGUCUUGACUGUGUACGCGGAUGAUGUGAGUUCUCUCUUAGACUUUGUAAUUGCUUUAAGUUGCGUUUUCAUAGUUAGAAAUUCGAUAUCUGUAGCUGCUUUUUAUGGUUCAAGAUAUUUUAAGGAUCAUGUAGAUGUAUAUAAUGGUUUAAAAUACUUUAAAUUUAAUGUUAGUUAUAAAAAAAAAAAAGUUGAUGUCUAAUAUUUCAAAUAUCUGAUUUCUCAUUUCAAAGUUUUUGAAAGUUAAGCAGUAUUAGUGAUAGCUCAGUUGAUGAACACUGUGCUGCACCUAUGCCAUGUCUAAUUAGGGUGCCGAAGAAUGAAGUAAAAACACUAGGACCUAGAGCUAGAGGUUCAACCCUCAUGAUAUAUCAAGUUUCCUAUUGUCAAAACCGGGUAUGAAUGGUAAAAGCAUUUAAUUGUACCUGAGGAAUACUGAUUUUAUUUUGAAAUACUCCGGUAACUUCUAUCCAUUUUCUAAUGAGUGACGAAGUCAUUGCAUUCCAUCUAAUCAAGAAUACGAUACGAAAAACUGAGUUGUUGAGAUUUUUACAUAUAGUGAAGGCCCCAAUAUUGUGUUGGAAGAAAUCACAUGAUCUAAGCAUCCUGCUUUCAGCAGUGGGCAUCUAAAUGCUGAUUAGUGUGGUUUGUGGGCUGUUGUAUGGCUUUAUUUAUCAUGGUUUUUUUUUUUUCUUGCUUUAGAAAAUGCCUUAUUCUUUUUUGAAAUUAAUUCACGUGUACCUGCUACUGCAGUCACUGGAGACGAAAAGUACAGCGAAAGAGAUCUCUGAUCAACUUGUUUUCUCAUGCAUCAAUCACAUAUGCCAGAGCUUCCAUGACACAGUAGAAUCAUUGGCUUCAUUACCUGGUGCUCCUGAAGAUAUCUUUCACUACCUUUCAGCUCAAGCAGAGUUGCUUCUCUAUCUUAUGAUGUAUGCACAUAAAAGCCUGCCUUUGUCUGUUUGCAUUCUUGUACUAAAAACAUCAGGUUCUGGCCUUAAAGUGUUGAGUGAUUUCAGAGCAUUAGUUACCGGGCCAGCAGUUAUGGGGGUUAACACUACCGUAAAGCUCUUGCUUAUGUUGCUUCUCUCGGCGGUGGAGUUUAGUUGUCGUAAGUCACAUUUGGUUGGGGCAAGAGAUAUAAUAUCUGUUGAAGAACUGGCUAAAAUAUCUAACGUGAGUCUUGGUCUACUACCAAUUCUCUGUAACUGUAUGGCUAUUGUUGAGCAUGGCACCCUCUCCCUAACUACUAUGGACUUGAUACUGAGAAAUUUCUUAACUCCCAACACUUGGUUCCCCAUUAUACAAAAUCACCUCCAGCUUCAGCAUCUUAUUCUGAAGCUUCAAGAUAAGAACUCACUUGACUCUGUGCCCAUUAUAAUUAAGUUCUUUUUGACUGUUGCCCGUGUGAGGCAGGGUGCAGAAAUGCUUAUUAAUUAUGGGUUUCUUUCGUCUCUGAGACUCUUGUUCGCUGAGUACUUGGAAGGUAGGUCUUCUUCCGUUAGUACUAAUAAGAGAAAUCCCAACUCAACUGAAAAAACUGAGAAGCCUCAGCAAAUUUGGGGACUUGGUUUGGCAGUCAUCACAGCUAUGGUUCAGUCUUUAGGAGACAGUUCUGCUUGUUCUGAUGUUGUGGAGAAUGUAAUACCCUACAUCUUUUCAGAGAAAGCCUAUAUGAUUUCUUACUAUCUCAGUGCUCCAGACUUCCCAUCUGAUGGUCAUGACAAGAAAAGACCUCGGGCUCAGCAGAGACAAACUUCUCUUACUGAUCUUAAAGAAACUGAGCACACUCUCAUGCUGAUGUGCGUGCUAGCAAAACAUUGGAAUUCAUGGGUUAAGGCCAUGAAAGAAAUGGACUCCCAGCUGAGAGAGAAAAGUAUCCAUCUUUUGGCCUUUGUCAGCCGGGGAACUCAACGCCUUGGAGAAUCUUCGAGUCUUAGUGCUCCUCUUGUAUGCCCUCCUAUCCUUAAAGAGGAAUUCGAUGGCUGCAAGAAACCCUCAUUUGUUAACAGUAGAAGCGGAUGGUUUGCUCUUUCACCGCUCAGUUGUGUGUCAAAACCAAAAUUUUCAGCCGUCUCUACCACAACUGCGCUGGCUAUUAAAACUCAAUCAACUGAAAAUAGUGAUCACGUAUCUCAGUCAUACUUCUCCGACACUAUUGCCCUUCAGAUAUACAGAAUUACUUUUCUUCUUUUGAAGUUCCUCUGUUUACAAGCUGAGGGUGCUGCUAGAAGGGCAGAGGAGGUUGGGUUUGUUGAUCUUGACCAUUUUCCUGAGCUUCCAAUGCCCGAAAUCUUGCAUGGCUUACAAGUAAGAUGACAAUUUUUAUUAUUUAAUUAGUUUUUAUUUUGCUAAUCUUUUAAGAUCUUGAGAUGUCUCAAGGUGUGGCUUUGAUUUGUUUAAUUAUGCAAAAAAUAUCUGGUCUUCCAAAUACUUAAAAUUAAGUUUCGAGGCGACUUUCGUUUUGAGUUGGAUAUGUUAUUUCUGAUGUAGGAUCAAGCAAUUACCAUUGUUACAGAGCUGUGUGGGGAUAAAAGAUCAAAUGAGAUUCAAAUUGAAGUGCAGAGUAUCUGUUGCUUAUUGCUACAAAUAAUGGAGAUGGCCUUGCACUUGGAACUUUGUGUUCUACAAAUAUGCGGCAUAAGACCUGUGUUAGGGCGUGUGGAAGAUUUUUCAAAGGAAGUUAAACUGUUAAUAAAAGGUGAACUCCAUUCAUUCUGCAUACAUGUUUUGUCACCUUUUUUUUAAAUGGUAGUUCUUCAACAUUUAACGAAUGGUUUUUUCCUUAUAAUGUACUUUGUAGCGAUGGAGAGACAUGCUUUCCUCAAAUCAUCUGUGAAGUCCUUGAAACAAAUAACGUCGGUUAUCUAUCCCGGAUUGUUACAGGCCGAAGAGUUUUUGUGAGAUAAAUUCUUGUGCAUAUAGGUGAAAACUGAAAACUGUAGGCUUUGGAAGAAAAAUGUAAAAACUAGUGUGUAUUGCUUACAUCAAUGGCUUUAGAAAUAUUCCGCAGGCUUAUAAAAUUAUCCCAUUCCUUUCAGCCAUUCCUUUUGUAUAUAUUUUCUUUUGAGAAAAGGUUGUGGCUCUAUGAUUGAGAAGAUUUCUAAAAUCCGUGGCAAUUCAUGAUUGUCGCGUGAGAAUUCCCUUUCCUUCACUUUCCCAAGCAAAAGGUCCCUUAUAGGUAUUAGAUAUCUAUCAUUGCUUUUAUGCAUUAGUGGGACCUAUGAUUUCUUCAUAGUGAAAUGCAUGUAAUUUUCAGAUCCAAUUCGAAUUUAAUAAAUUACUUUAGUGUUUAGGGUAGUCGCUCUCGUGGGUGACUCUCGGUUGUUGAUGCAUGUGCAUUAGCGGGAUGUGAUCACCCGUAAGUUCGUAAGCAACUGUCCGUAGCAUUUCAUAAGUCUACUUUCUCUCCAUGUUGUUGCAUCCCUAUUCUCGACCCAAAGAAGAAAGAAAAAUUGAUGGCACCAACGAAAAGAAUUUUUCCGGUCCCUACAAAAAAUGGCAUAUGAUCACAAGUUCUGAGCUCCAAGCUCCAUAACCCAUAUACCCAUUGUUUUGCUUAUGAAUGAUGAUCUGUCAAUUGGAAGAUAAUCAGAAGGUGAAUCCCCACAACUUUACUAAAGUAAGUGUGCUUCCUCUUUUAGAGAAUAAUGAUCCUCCAGGACUAUAUGAUUUCACUGAUUUGUUGAUUUUUAUUUCAUAAUUAAGAAAAUUUUAUAUUAUUUUCCGCAUGGAAUAAAGAGCAAAUUAAAUUAAUUAAUCCAAUGGUUGUCAUUCGUCCUUCAAUCCACAUUUCCUAAGUUGGACCAAGUGAACGGGUCCAAUUCAUGGAUCGAUGGACCGGGCAUCCAUCCAUGAUCCAUGGAUACAUAUAUAUUUAUUAAUUUAUUUUUCCUUCGGAAAAAUAAAUAAUAUAAAAAUUAGUCCUCAUGAUCCGUAAUUUAAGAUCUUUUUGGCUUUAUGUGUAUGUCGGCAUCUGAAUCCUUGCGAAAUCCAGACCGUUGGAUCUGCGUCAGAGGGUAAGUAAAAAUCAGUAAAAUUGUCAGUGUUUCACCUUUUAUUUAAUACCAUGUGUGCCAUCCAAGUGUUUACCAAAUCCACAACGUGGUCCAAACGGUGUCGUUUAUUUCCCCCAAAAAGUCCACGAACCCUAAUACCCUAUCCGAAUAAUGACAAGCAUAUACCAGUACACAACCACUUCACUCAGCCUCGGAUCCCAAAACCUAACCCUGGUUAAAACCCGACCCAACCACGGUUAACUCAUACCCCGUCAGAUUCAACCCACGUGCCUUCAUCCAACGGCUGAAAACAACUUGCCAUAGAUAUUCACCUCAGAGGCCCUUUUAUAAACCCCUUGUCCUCGUGACCUCGUCCACGCAUCGCAAACCCUAAGCAUCAUCACUCUCGUUUUCCUCAAAUCUCUUCGUGAACGAUCCAAACAAAACCUCGAAAUUCUCAUCAAUGGCUUCAAACCCUAAGGUCUUCUUCGACAUGACGAUCGGAGGCCAGCCUGCCGGCCGCAUCGUCAUGGAGCUCUUCGCCGACACCACCCCCCGCACCGCCGAGAACUUCAGGGCUCUCUGCACCGGAGAGAAGGGCGCUGGCCGCAGCGGCAAGCCCCUGCACUACAAGGGCUCCUCCUUCCACCGAGUGAUCCCAGGGUUCAUGUGCCAGGGAGGUGACUUCACCGCCGGAAACGGCACCGGAGGCGAGUCGAUCUACGGCGCCAAGUUCGCCGAUGAGAACUUCAUCAAGAAGCACACCGGACCUGGAAUUCUGUCCAUGGCCAACGCUGGUCCCGGGACCAACGGAUCUCAGUUCUUCGUCUGCACGGCCAAGACCGAGUGGCUCGACGGCAAGCACGUCGUGUUCGGUCAAGUGACCGAGGGGCUCGAUGUUGUGAAGAACAUCGAGAAGGUUGGGUCGAGCUCCGGCAGGACCUCCAGGCCAGUGGUGGUUGCUGACUGCGGCCAGCUCUCCUAGACGAGUCCGUUUACUCGGUGCUCUGACGAUGAUGGAAACGUCAUCGUUUAUCUCUCUGUUAUUAUGAGUCGGUCUGCCUUUACUUUUUCGAAUUUCGGUUUUUAGUAGGCUGGGGUCUGAUUAGGGUUUGGUUUAUGGACCUUAUUAUUAUCACUAUGGUCGUCUUCCUUUUUUUUUUGGAUGUCUAAUUGCUCUGCUGUUUCUGAUCUGAGACUCUUAUUUUGUGAUAAACUGAGCUGUUAUCCUUAAAUAAAAUAGGUUUUAUUCUCCAAUUGUUUAUCUUAUUUUCUUUAUUUUUCAUUUCAAUUUUUUAUUCUAUAAUUGCCUAAUGCCUCUAAGUAUUAUUGUGCUCGUGUUUCAUCUUAAGUGAUUAAAAGUAUAUUUAUUUAUUUAUUUCGUAUUCAAUUUAUUGUUGUGCCCGCAUUUGAUUUAAGUCAAGUGUGAUUAAGAGCGUUUAUCUUAUAUUAUUGAUUAAAAAUUAUAUAAAUAUCAAAUGUAAAAGAAAAGGUCAAUAAAUGGGAAUGGUCAAAGUUAUACCUAUUUAUCCGAAUAUUUCCUGCCAAGUCGUUUUGGGAUAUUUUGGGCCACUUGGGAUUUUAGGCCCCGUUGAUGCACCCUUGGGUUUGGACUGAUCGGCUUGUUGCUACUUUUUGUAAACGUGUAAUUUGUUGUUUGCUAUCUUUUUACGCUUGUGUUUUCAAGAGAGAGAAAAUUUGGAUUUGUAUAGUGAUGGAUAAAGCCUUUGUGAUUCUUGAGCCACCACCACUUGCCGCGUAUGUGGCAUUGUACAAGGGAAUUUUGUGUGCAUGCGUUUUCUGUUUUCUUUGCAUGAGGAUAUGCUCUUCUCAUUCCAAAAUUUUAUAUUUUUGUGGUUCUAGAAAGAAAAGAAUUUUGUUUAGUCAUCGUAUGUGUUUUGCGUUCCUAUAAAUCUUUGGUCACGUCGCCUCAUCAUCCAGUUUGUUUGAUGCCCGGCUAACCUCACAAAAGUUUUAUCUUUGGUUAUGUCAACUCAUAAAACAAAGAUAUUCCCGUUUCACAUAAGUUUUUCUCACACUCAACGUCCUCGUUGGAUUUGCUUAGUCGCUUUAGUGGGCCAAUGAAGUAGUGACUUAAAAAAGUAUUUAACUUUGGUUAGCGUAACAAACUCCCUUAACAUUAGAACCAUUUACUCACAUCACAGCCAAAUUAUCUAGACAAAGAGGCAAAAUCUUCCAACUAUCUCCAGGAUUCAUAAACAAAGCAUCUCCUACAUUAUAGGUUCGCUUAACGCAGUCCCCAAGGCCCAAUGGGAUGAUCUUCAUUCCACAACUUGAAAAGGUUUUUUCAUUCCAAUGGGGGAACUGUUCUUUCCUUGAUCGAAAGAAAAAGGUUCAGCAAACCUUAUUAAGAAAACACUGACUACAAAACUCAUCAGCCUUGGCAGGCUAAGAGAGAUGAAGAUAUUGGGUAUGAGGUAGUAGAAGAAUUUGUCACGUGAGGAGAGAGAUAUAGAUUAUUGUAUAAGAAGUUCCUUCCUCCAACGUUGUAUCGGCAAAACCUAUGUUUUAGGAUGCAUCUUAAUUAACCUUCCUCUAACAUUGUACAAUUAGGAAGCUUCCUUCUCCUUGGCUUUGCCCCCCUUAGCUUUCUGCCGAUGAUUUACACUUGAUUCAUUGUCUUAUUGUCCUUAAUGGAAUUCUUCAUAAGGUUAAAAUUGUCAAACAGUAAAGUACAUCUACAAAUUAUAUGGAUAGUUUCCAUUCAAUACCUGCAGAUUUUUUCUUUUUGUAAUAAAUGAAAUAGGGGAAAAAACCAAAUAAUUUUGGGAUGAUGCGCAUAUAUCUAAAUUUGUUAAUAUUUUUUUCUUCUCAGCUUUUCAUAAAAUCAAAUAUAUGAUUUGUGCUAUUUGUUUUACUAUUUUCAAGAAAAAAAAGAGGGAGACAGAAAAAAGAGACAUUUCUCUCUCUUUCUCCCACAUCCCAACCCCACCCGCCCCAAAACACAUCGCAUAGGACCCCACUCUCCCCACUUAUCUCUAUAUCUGUUUCUCUCUCACAACAAAUUUUCAAUAUACAAAUGGAAAAAUACCAAAAAGAAAAAAUAAUAAGAAAAAGGCAGAGUCGGAUUGGGUAGGCUGAUGAAAUUUGUGUGUGAAGGGUUGGUGUUCCAUGGUUGAGAAAGAAGGAGGAAGGGACUGCGAAGAGGGAAGGGGGAAUGGAUUUCAAGGUGGUUGGAGCCGGGCCACAUAUGGGAUGGGGGAAGGUGAGAAUUUUUUUUAAAUACAAUUUUUUUAUAUAAUCAUUUUUCCAUUUUUAAAAUACUCUUGAAAAUGGAAAGACUGAAAUACCCUUUAAAAUAGCUGAAAAAUUGAAUGGUGUUAAACCUAGAUGACAAAUAAUGGAUUUUGAAAAAUUAAAGUGAUAUUUUUCUUAAAUUUUUCUUUAAUGUGACAAAUUAAAAUUGAGGUAUAAAUUCAGGUGACAUUUCUAAAAAAUAAUACACCUCCAUCGAUAAUGUGAGAAUUACAAGAGCGCAUGAGUAACGCUUUUUAUAAAUGAUCAACUACCUAAUGCAAAUGUAAAAUAAAAUUCUUUAGAUUGAAAAUUGUGCCUUGUUUUAAAUGUUUUUCUUUAAAAUUUUGGUUUAGUAUAUAAACCAAAUUACUAUCCAUAGCAGAGUAUAUUUGCAAAUCCCAUAAUACUAAUUUCUUACAUUUGACGCAGAUAAGGUCAUCCAUCAUUCUUUUUUUUUUUUUGGGGUGAAAUUAGCUAAAAUAGUUAUUUUUCAUAAAUUCUAAUAUUCUAUACUAAAAUAGCCUAUUUUGCAUUAAAGAGGUUACUAUAUAAACAAUAAAGAAGAAACUAUACGGAUAACAAAAAGACACUAUAUAAAUCAAAGCUAUUAUAGAAUAAAAGUCAUGAAAAAUGACUAUUUUUUUUUUAGCACAAACGCCUUGAUUUUUCCAGACAUGACGUGGUGCCAAUUUUAUAUUUUAUAUUUUUUUAAACUUUCCCACUUCCAAUUUUCCUAAUGUCCAAACAGCAACAGAAAGAGUUACAGAGAAAAGUAAAAGUCCAAACUCCAGGGCAAUCUUGGCGCAUAAGCUGUCAUCCCGCUGAUUCACGUGACUCAACUUUAACAACAGAAAAAUCCAAUCUACCCUGUUGCCCACGUGGCACUCUCCAGAUGAGCUGAGGGUACUAUCGUCAUUUCAAGAAAAGUAGAAAACCAUAGCCAAUAGAAUCAGAUCCCGCACAUUGGUGUAGCGAGCGCGCGAAGCACUGGAUUGUUACCUCCGUCCGUACUGCCACGGGAAGCUUCCGACUAGACGACGGGCUCAAGCGUGUUUCUUCGUGUUGAGAGAGAGAAACGAGAUCUCUCUCUCUCUCUCUGAAAGCUUCAGAGGGUGUAUUGCAAUUUACAGAGAGGGAGAGAGGUACAACUUGUUCAACUCUGGUUGGCGGGAAUUCGAAAUUCUAGAGAGAGAGAUGGGGGUGUCAGAGAAUACGAAGGGGCUGAUACUAGCGAUGGCGUCGAGCGCCUUCAUAGGCGCGAGCUUCAUCUUGAAGAAGAAGGGUCUCAAGCGCGCUGGAGCUGCCGGUACUCGAGCAGGUCAUUUUUACUCUUACAUGAAUUCUGGGUUCUAUUCUUUUAGUUUAUUUUCAAUGUCAAUGCCAUUGGCACAUUAGCAUUUCCCUUUUUUGGAUGGUUGAGGUUGGAAAUUGGAGUAAAUUACAAAGAUUUAACCAAAAGAUUCAAUUUUUGAAAUUAAUUAUGUGUUUGAUGAUUGAUAGGUUCCAGAAUCCAAACUGCUAAUUCAUGGUUUUGAUUGUUUUUUGAUUAUUUAAUAAGUUGCCAUGUGAUUGAUUUGUUGUACAUCUUUGAUUUGGGUAAUUGAAAAUCUGUGUCUUUUGAGUUGUGCAGGAGUUGGUGGUUAUACUUACUUACUAGAGCCACUUUGGUGGGCGGGCAUGAUCACCAGUAAGUACAGCUCUCUCUUUCUCUACAGAAAAUGUAUGUGACUGAAACGAUAAGUACACGUGAGUUAUUGAUAUUUGGUUUUGAAUUUUUUCAACUGGGUAGUGAUUGGUGGAGAGGUUGCCAAUUUUGUGGCUUAUGUAUAUGCUCCAGCAGUUCUUGUAACCCCACUUGGUGCACUGAGUAUAAUAGUCAGGUAAAUGCUCUUCUGUCUGAGUUCAUUUCGUUGCUGAUUUCUGAUAAAAAGAAGGUAUUGUUUAAAAGCUUUUGUUACCAACUUGCAUGUUUGUUGGAUUUGUCUAGUGCUGUUUUGGCUCACUUCUUGUUGAAGGAACGAAUACAGAAAAUGGGUAUUGUGGGAUGUGUUACCUGCAUCGUGGGAUCAGUGGUAAUUGUGAUCCAUGCACCUCAAGAGCAUAUUCUAAAUUCUGUACAGGAAAUCUGGGUUCUGGCGACCCAACCAGGUUCAUGACUUUAAACCUCAUAUUUCUUCUUCUUCUUCUUCUUCUUCAAUGCUACUUGUCUUAGAACCUUCAUUGUGUUGUCCUGAAAAAUUACUUUUUUUUUUUUUUUUUCCCACAGCUUUUCUGGUUUACGUUGCUGCUACACUUUCCCUAGUGUUAACUUUGGUUUUGCAUUUUGAACCUCACUAUGGGCAAACAAAUAUACUAGUCUACUUGGGAAUCUGUUCCUUGAUGGGUUCACUUACGGUAACUAUGCUUUUCUAGUUUGCCAAGUACAAAUAGGCACUUUGUUCCUCUAUGUCUUAUGUGUUCAAAUUGUUAGGUGUUUAGCUGUGUACCUCUGCUGUGCUACUUCAGGUUGUAAGCAUAAAGGCCAUUGGAAUUGCAAUAAAGCUAACUCUUGAGGGAGUAAGUCAGAUAGCCUAUCCUCAGACUUGGUUUUUUCUGACUGUUGCAGUAAUCUGCGUAGUUACACAGUUGAAUUACCUCAACAAGGUCAGUAUUGCGCUAUUAAUUUUGGUCUCUUUCUCCGAGACUAUCAUCAUUGGCGUUUUAUGUGCUGACUAGCCGUUUUGUGCUAAAAAUCUGUGCCCCACCUGCACUGCCUAUUCAGCAUUUGGUUUCUCAGAUUCUGAUUUGCCCAUUUGUUACAUAUUGACUCCAAUGAGUUCCUAGCCUAUAAAGGAGGGGACAGUAAUGCAUUCUGCCUCUGUCAUAUAACUUGUAAAUAUAAUAACACUGGAUCAAAUCUCAAGCACACAGUAUUUCCAUUGUAAUAAGUUUGGAAAUUUCUCAAAAUCUGAAAAUUUAGUUAUUGAAAUUGGAAAGUAAGUUUAAGUUGGUCUACUUUAUUUAAAAAUUGAACUUUAAGUAUCACGUGCUGCUUAGACAGUAAUCUUGUUAGUACUUCAAUUCAGCCAUCUUUUAACUCAGACUUUCAUGGACUUCAAAUUAUAAUAAUUACCUGCUGAAUCUCACAUCAUUCAAGUUCAUGGCCGCUUUGUUUCAGGCUUUGGAUACAUUCAAUGCAGCAAUUGUUGCCCCAGUAUAUUAUGUGAUGUUCACAACUCUGACCAUUAUUGCUAGUGUAAUAAUGUUCAAGGUAGAUUGCUUGAUCUAUAUACUGUGGUUUUCUUCUGAUGCCUUUAUUGGUUGUUUUCAUGCAAUUACAAAGACUUGGGAUUCUGAAUUUCCCGUUGUUUUCUAUGUUCAAUGCAGGAUUGGUCUGGUCAGGAUGUAAGCAGCAUAGCCUCUGAAAUAUGUGGAUUCAUCACUGUUCUGUCAGGAACUAUCAUACUCCAUGCAACCAAAAAUGAGGAAACAUCUACACAAGGUAUACAUGGACUUUGCAUCCUUCUAUUAUCUGGGAUUUGGGGUUUUUAUUAUCUCCUUUAAAUUCAGAUCAACAUGACAAUUGAAAAUUCUUAUAAGAUGAUUGAGAAUAAAACAGAUGCAUGUUAAAUUUGAUCCCAAGAGACCUUCAUUUUCCUCUUGAUCAGGAUACUAAUUUACAAUGUUCCAUGCCUACUCAGUUGCAAUCCCAUCAUUAAGUAUUGGUUAGACUGAGGGGCAUAUUUACACUUAUGGUUGGCUGUAACAUUUACUAUCUUUGCUUAUGGCUGCUUACAGUAGUUUUUCUUUUCAUAGCAGGAACUGUAACAUGGUACAUUAGAGAUUCAAUGAAGGGCUCUGAAGAUGAACGUUUGCUCACCUUACACAAUUCAGAUUAUCCUGAACCGUAACCCUGCAACAAUCAUCUUGGAGAAUGAAAUCCCCAGCAAUGAAGCUGCACUGCAACAAUCAUUUUGAGUAGGGGUGAGUCUUUGGGUAUCUAGCACAUUGCUCAUUACACCUUCCAAAUACCCGUUUACUCCUAUUCAUUUAAAAGAAAUUGGCCUCCCCUCCCCUCCCCCAGUUGGACAUUUCCAUGGCCUAAGACCAGCCAUAGCUAGUCUUUUUUUUUAUAUAAAUUCUUUCUUCUUUUUGGAUAUGAAAUGAUUUGGGAUAUAAUGAAAAAGUAAAUGAAUUUUUUUAGGGACAGGUUGCAGCAAUGUGUUGGGUGCCAUUAGCCUCACUUUGAGUAGUGUUUGUAGUGUUGGGUGCUCCCGGUUUCUUCUAGACAGACCUUGGGGCUUUUAGCAGAUUGCAAAAGUUACUUUUUAUGUGCCUUUCUUCACCAGCCAGCAGAUGCGACCCUCAACCGGAUGCUCAAAUUAAAUUGAAGUGCGAGGUGUGGCACCACUCUCAAUGCUAAGUUCUGAAUCACCCUCAGCUCGGGAAUGGUGCUGCAGUUCUGUAUCAAUACCAGUGCAUAGAGAUAUUUGUUGUGAUUUUGGCAAUGCUGAGUCUCUCCAUGGCUGCUGAUGGCAUCUGUACAUAUCGAUGCUCGGCUUCUCAUUCACUAGUUUUCGUGCAUGAUUCUUCUUGAUAUCUGAUUCAGUUUGAUUCUCUCUUUUUCUUUCUAGUUUGUAUAUAUUUUUUCUUAUAGAUGUCUUUCUAGUUUGUAUUAGUCCUUUUUUCCUUGGUUAAGAAAAUCUACAGUUCAUAUUGGGAUUGAUAGAUCAUAGAACACACAGCUGAGAGGUAUAUUUGCCAAUUAAUGGGCAAAUACUGCUUGGGAAUUGUAUAUCUUGUAUUUAACUCUUGAGUUUUUGCUUUUGCUGUCAAUGAAUUCGGUUGGUAUAAUGGCAAAUAAACUGUACACUUUAUUACACAGUAAACCAUAAAUUAUAUGAUUCAUAGAAUCUUUCUUCAAUGAUCAAAAUUUAACCUUCUUUUUUUUGCCGGGAUGUUCCAAAUUUAACUCGAAUGUUGAGAUUGUGCAAUAUUUUACUAUUUAAGCAAUGAAAUCUUCCAAAUUGCUUAGCCAGAAAAGAAAUAAUAAAUAGUUUAAUUACAAGAUAAUUUCAAAAUUAAAAAACGUGAAAUUCCUUUUAUUGGGAAAAUAAGAUUCUAGUCAUGAGUUCAUAACGUAAUAUGAUCUGAUGAUGCUAUAAAAUAAAGCCGGUUUAAGAUUGAGAGAUUUAUUAAUAAUUUGGUUUGGAUGGAUGAUUACUGAAAGCUAACCUUUUUCUUCUUGUUUUUGUUUUUGUUUUUAUGGAUAUAAAGUCGUCUAAAAGUUGUUUUCGUAUCAUAAUUCUAAUUCAUUUCUUAAGUUCUCUUAUCACUAAACUAAUUCGAAGUUACAUCGAAAUUCCCAGCUUAAUUCUAACACAUUUUUUACUAUUCAAAAUUGCCUAGUCUAAUUCUAACUCAUUUCUUACUGCAAUUAUAACUCCUCUAUAACUGAUUUACUAUUGGUAAUUAGUAAGGUUUUAGAGUUCCUCAAAAUCAUUAUUGAAAAAAAAAAAACAAAGUCAGAUUCCCUCUCCAGAUCAAAAAAGAGAAGAGAGAGAUUCUCUCUCUGAUAAGGAAAAUCAUAAACUUCAAUCUCCACCGUCGGAUCAAAUUCUCUUCCCUACCCUAUAUAUUCGUAACCCCCUCUUCGCUUCUCAACAACGCAACGCUUCGCCAAAAAAUCCAUCCUUUGCGCAAAAACAAAAGGAGAGACCUUUUCAUCGCAGCACACAGUAACCACAACCAUGGCGGCAACAGUGUCUCCUUGGGCCAAACCUGGCGCUUGGGCCCUCGCCGCCGAAGAGCAGGACGCCGAGCUCGAACAAGAAACCCAAAACGCACGACACGUCGUUGAGCCGCCCUCCGCCGACUACCCAUCUUUGUCUGUAGCCGCCACCGCCAAGCCCAAGAAGAAGAACAAGGGCCAGAAAAUCUCCCUCGCCGAGUUCACGGCCUUCGGCGCGCCCAAGCCCGUGGCCCAGCCCGAGGGCCUCACCCAUCAGGACCGCAUGCAUCUCCCGACCGGUCCGCGCGAGCGAACCGCCGAGGAGCUCGACAGGAAUCGGCUCGGCGGCGGGUUCAGGUCCUAUGGGUCUGAUCGGGGAAACAGCAGGUUUUCCAACGGCGAAGAGUCGUCGGAUUCGAAGUGGGGUUCGGGACAGAGGAGGGAAGGUGGAUUUGGGAAGGAAUCGAACCGCGAUGGGCCUUCCAGGGCCGACGAGAUUGAUGAUUGGGGCGCUGCGAAGAAAUCGACUGUGGGAAAUGGGUUUGAGAGGAGGGAGAGAGGAGCAGGAGGUAGUUUCUUUGGUGGGUCACAGUCGAAGGCUGAUGAAUCGGACAGUUGGGUAUCCAAUAAGAGCUCUGUGUCGUCGGAGGGACGGAGAUUCGGUGCUUCCGGUGGUGGGUUCGAUCGGGAGAGGAAAGUGGGGUUCACAUCUGAUGGAGGUGCUGAUUCUGAUAAUUGGGGGAGGAAGAAGGAGGAGAGUAAUGGUGGGUCUGGUUUUGAUCGAGAAAGAAGAGUUGGGUUCGUGUCCAAUGGUGGUGGUGCUGAUUCUGAGGUUUGGGGGAAGAAGAAGGAGGAGAGUAAUGGUGGUCUGAGUGAGAGUACUGGAAGGCCGAGGCUCAAUUUGCAGCCGAGGACACUGCCUGUGAGCAACGAGACCUCACCUGGGUCGACGACAGUACCGAAGUCCAAGGGCUCAAACCCGUUUGGUGAGGCGAGGCCAAGAGAGGAGGUGUUGGCAGAGAAGGGGAAGGACUGGAAAAAGAUUGAUGAGGAGCUCGAGUCGGUGAAGAUUAAGGAGGUGGCUGAGAGAGACCACUCGCCCUCGUUUGGGAAGAGGAGUUUUGGGAUAGGAAAUGGGCGUGCCGGUGAUCGAACUGAGAGAGCUUGGAGGAAGCCUGAUGUGGCAGAUGCUCGUCCCCAGAGGUUUGUUGUUUCAGUCAUAUGAUUGAUUGAUUGGGUAUAUCAAUCGCUAGUAAUUAGAAUGCUUAGUUGUAAAGUCUGAUGCCUUUGAUAUUUCUACGUUGAACUUGAUUGCAUGGAUUUUCUUAGCUAUGUUAAUUGGAAAGAUGCAUUGUUGAUAGAAUUGGUUUCAGUUAGUUAUAGGAAAGUUUGCUUGAUGGAACAGUGAAUUAGCAUAUUGGUUGUAUGUAUGUGUGUGUGUGUCUUUCAGUUUUAACCUUUUCAUAAGGGGUUUGUCAACCUUGUGGGGGAGAUGCUGAGCAUUGAUGGUUUACAUUUGUGUCCAAAAGGAAGCUUCUUGAGGUUUCUGUAUUAAAAAGAAAUUCACUUUGCCGAGCAUUACUUGUUAUCUUAUUGAUAGGUCGAGUUUUACGAAAUACUUGGUGCUCUGAUGAAUUGCAAUUCACUUUUGAGGAUUCUUUAUGCCGUGUCUUUGUUUUGCCCUCUUAUCUUCUCAUGUGAAUACAUAGACAAGUUUAAAUUGGUGGCACUGCUAUCUCUUUAUUUUUGCCCUUGGGUAAUAUAUUUCUAAUUUGUUUGAUAAAACACCCUCCUUUUUCAUUUUCAACCUUAACCUUGGGAUAUUCUGAAGGCUGCACGUUCAUCUUUAGAUGUUUUUGCAAUUUUCCCUUCUGCUGUUUGACACAUACUACUAACCCUAACCCUGGCUGCUGCACAAGGAAAAAAAGUUGUUUUAUGUAUGUAUGUGUUAAAUAUGAAUAUUGGACUAGAAGGAUCUACCUGACUUGAAUGGAGCCAUUUAAAGUUAAAGGUUCAUGUAACCAUGGAUUUCUCUUUUAGUUUUUAGGGGUUAGUAACUUGUAAUGUGUGUGAUUAGACGUGCUUUCAACUAUUUGUUGCUAUUUUCAGGGUUUGUUAAAACUCUGAAACUAAUAGUUUUCGUUCGGUGCAGUGCUGAGGAAAAUGAGAGUAGGAGCAGUUCUUUGGAACCAGAGAAUGUAUGUUGAUGAGCUUGUUGACAGUCAUGUUGACGGGCAUGCUGAUGAGCAUGCUGAUGAGAAUUGAAGAGGCGUUUUACAAGUUUGGUGUAAGCCAUGGGAAAAGAUUUUAAGUUGAGCUGUUGGAUCCAUGAGGCUGUUGAAUUUUCAGUUUCAAUGAUUUGUGUUCUCGUCUGCGACUGUAAUACAUUGAACUUGAGACAAUUUUUGUAGGAUUUUAAAUAGCUAUACUAGUUUUGCCCGUAAGGCUUUGUUUGUAUGUUGUAUUUAAGAUUGAGAAAUACUUUAACUCUAAUUAUUAUUUUUGAUCCUUAAAUUCUGGUUCACACAUUUCAUGGUUGAAGAUUUUGGUGUGUUGUGCGUUUGAUGCUUCAUGGUUUUGCCUAUGUUCUCUGGAUAAUUUAUUUUGAUGCUUCAUGGUUUGCCUAUGUUCUUAGGGUAAGGGUCAGAAUUGGCUGAACUGGAAUUAAAGUUGCCUGUAGUUUCAAGUUACUGAUUUAUAGAAUGAAUCAUAUUUGUAAGCAAGUAGACUUUUGAUUGAAUCAUUUUUAGCAUGCAUUAUUCUGCUGUAGGUUCAAAAUUUCGUUGUGAGUAAUUGAUGUUGUAAUUGUUUUGGUAAAAAAAAGAGACGAGAAAACAUAUUGCGAAGGCUUAGUUUUCGGUUUUAUGAGCAAAGAAACUAUACAGAAGUUACAAUUCUGAUGACUCGGGAGAUUCUUGAAUGUCUUCAGUCGUAUAAUAGUAAUAGGGUAGAUUUUCUCCCACAAAAUAACGAAAAUGGCACACAGUUGACUGAUUAGAUGUCACCAGUUGUACAGAUUUUAUCCACAGGACGGCAAGGGCAUUGGCUGUGAGCCAACCAAAACUAGGGUUGUUAGGGCGUGCUUCUGUAACUGCUACAGAGCCACUGUCAUAAUUGCUUCUAGUGCCAAGCACUGCUACAGUUGCUCUGCUAUGCUACAACAACAAUGCAGGUCCAUGUUACACUGGUACGGAGUUUGGUUCAUCAUCAUGGGCCAAUAUUUUAAGUCCACUCUCUUAAUCCGAGUUUGAAUCUUCCUCUCUUAAUUAGUUUAAAUUAGAAUACCAACUUGUUAAAAAGAGAAAAAACUAGACUCAAGGCUGGCCCUAGGCCAUGUUCAAAGAGUUACACUACAGAAAACAAAAGUUCACCUUCUGCGUGUGCCUAGCCUAGCAAUAUGUCAUUAGACAAAUACAUCAAUUUUUGAGUAAGUAUGGGCACGAGAAAGAGGUUUGCAGACUUGUGUGAGGUGUAGUUGAAGAGCAUUAAAGAGAAGCCAUUACUUACUUCUCUGUCAUUGCACAUUAUGAAGCUCUAUCUCCUUAUAGGCCUUCCUCAUCAAUGCCUUUGCUACUUUGACGGCCAACAAAUACCCCCCCACCAGCAAAACCUUGGAGCCUUGAAGUCAUGUUUUUGGCUACAAACCGACCCACGUCUGCAAUAAUGGCAACAUAUGGGCUUCUUGCCUUCAAAAUCUUGGGAUAGGCACUACUCAUGUCCACAGUCUCUGUUUGCGUGGCAAAAUUAUUCUAAACUAAAAACUCCUGCCCUGCAGCUGCAGUUAAAGCUACGGCCGUAGACGAAAUAACAUGUUACGGUGUGUAUACACUAUUGUCUUAUCUCUCUAAUCACAUGAUACGCCUUGCGUAUGCAUCAACUUCAAACAAUUAAUUGUUGGAUCAUGACUUGUGAUUUCAACAUUAGUUCUAAUGAAACCAAGAAUAUUAGUCUAUUAGCACCAGCCUUAAAUGCACCUCUGGUUUGAAAAUAGUGUUUCCCACACACCAUAAAGGCAGGCAGUUGAGAGUUGAAUGUAAGCAUUACUUUACCAUACUCUGUAUUAAUUUGCUUCCUCUGGGUGUUCAUCACAUUCUUAUUUUUACACCAAACCCUCUUCUUUAUUCUUUACUCUCUCUUUCUUUGCAUUUUCGUUUAGUCCAAUGCUCAUGGAUUGGCUAGAAAAGUUCAUUUUGGCAGCACUUCUCAUUUUGGCUGCAGCCAUUGAUGGAGCUCAGGCAGAUACCAUGGUCAGUGGCACAGUAUUCUGUGACCAAUGCAAAGAUGGUGAAAGAUCCCUCUUUGAUUAUCCCAUCAAUGGUGAGAUCCAUAAUCUCUAAUUAAUUAGUACUAAUCACAUUCUCCAUUAACACUCUUAAUUGUAAAUUCAUAUGCUUUUGUAUUUUGCAGGUGUUAAAGUACAAGUGGCUUGCAGUGACAGCAAUGGGCAAAUCACAAUGUCAAGGGAAGAAACAACAAAUUGGUUUGGAAACUAUGCUGUCAAGUUUGAUGGCACGCCAGAUUUGAGUGGCUGUUUUGCUCAGGUUUCAAGCACAGGGCAAGGCUCAAAUGGCUGUGGGGUUAGUGCUGGCCCUGCUCAAAGCCUUAGGCUUAUGUUUAGGAUGUUUAAUAUGGCGAUGUAUGCUGUGGACUCUUUGCUCACUCAGCCUGCUCAGCCUAUGUCAUUUUGCCCAAGGUCAGCUAAUCCGGUGGCUCCUGCACCGCCGACACCAGCUAGGCCUCUGCCUAACCCGGUAACGCCGGCCAGCCCUCCGCCUUUUUGGCUUCCGCCUCUUCCAAAAUUGCCACCAUUGCCUCCAUUGCCUCCAUUGCCUCCACUGCCCUCAUUGCCUCCAAUGCCACCAGUGCCCUUCUUGGAAGCUACAGCAUGCCCUCAUCAGUAAGUUAUUUACUGUGGUUUGCUUUGCAGUGUCUUAAGUUGUUGGUUACCUACUUUGAGUGUGGUGAGUAAAAAUUGUUUUCUCCAUAAAACUACCAUAGAGUCUAGUAUGAUCUAUUAUGGUGUACCCCAAACUGUUUUUCUACUUACCAACUAACUCUUGGUUUAGCAAUAUUUCAAUUUUCAGUGUUAAAAGAGGUUCCAAGUUUGAAUUCAACGAUUUUUCUUCUCUGACCAUUUGAUGGGGUUGUGUUUUUUCAGGCAGUGGACAUUGCCAGAGCACAAAUGCUACUGGAGGGCAGUGAGCCCGGACACAAAGGUAGCCGUUGUUUUCGGAUUGGCGGCGGCUAGGAGAUACGGGACUGACCUGACAUUAUUGCAAGGCCUACAAGGAAGAGGAGAACCUUACAGGACUCUCCUGAGGGAAGGGAUCACUGCAUUUCUCAACUCCUACAAUAGUCUUCAAUUCCCUUACAAUUCAAUUGCUGUGGUCCAGCAUUUGAAUUAUGGCUUGAUUGGCUCCAACAGAAACGUCCUCUUCACAGCCUUGCGCUUCAUCAGGGCCAAUUCAGGUUAUGGGAGAGUCCCUUGCAAAUUUACUGCUUGCAAAUGAUUUGUCUAUUUUAAAUCUAAAUUGUAUUAGACUGUGUUAAGUUUGGUUCUAUGUUUAGCUUAAACUAUGAUUAUGUAUUUUUGAUUCUAAAGAGAGAGGGAGGCCUACAGUCGAACUUUAGUUAUGAGUGCGUGGUUAUAAGUGCUCUACUACUAAAGCUAUAAGGUCUUCCAAGUUACGAUUAAACAAUUACAUUCUUGUAUUUCUUAUAUGAAUUUGUAGUUUAUCUAUAUUUUUCUUUUUUAUUUAACUAAUUAACAUAAUUUAUGAUUUAUAAGGUUUGUCCACCAUCAAUCAAAUCUUCAAUUGAUUAAGGUUUGUUCGUCAUCAUUUUCAAAUCUUCAAUUGAUUAAGGUUUGUUCGUCAUCAAUAUCAAAUCUUCAAUUGAUUAUCAUAUCUGCCGACAGAAACCAGAUUUCGUCUGGUAAGGUUAUAUAUGAAUGGUCACACAAAUCCCACAAGAGAAUUUAUGACGGUAAACUAUGUCAUCUCUAAAAUAGGGGAAAAUAAAUCAUGUCGUCCACUCAUAUUAUAACACGUGUAUAAGAUGUAUCACGUGACCAUAUUAUCUGGUAUUUUAUAAUUUCUCCAUCUUAUGAACUUCUGUUGAGAAUUGAUUGGGCUUCUGUCCAUUUCAAUCAAAUAAUAUUGAAUGGCAUUUCUACAUACUGAUCAAAACUAAGGUUGUUUAGUCAACACCAUGCGUAUAAAAAGAAAAACCCACGGUUCUCUUGCCAAGGCCACAAAAUUAAAGCAGAGCAAAAUGAAGCUCACGGUCAAGCAGGUACAAGUUCUUUGCUUUUGGGCUCUAAUUGUGCGCAUGCUUACAAUGCCCUUGCUUUUUCAUAACCACUUAGCAAAAUUCCUUAACACACAUACAUAUUUGAGAAGGAGACUGUCUGUUGUUCUCCAUUUUUUCUUGCUGGCACUCCUGGGGGCAUCAACCGUAGCGCGAUCUGUGUAGUCCGACCCAAUGGCACCCAAUAACACCUUGCACACCCCGUUUGGCACGGUUUGGGUUGUGGAUGACCCCAUUGACAGAGGGAUGUGACCUGAAAUCAAGGGUCAUUGGCAACUCUAGAGGUGUAUAUGUGUCCGCAGGUAAGCAUGAGCUAAUGCUUGUGGCUUACCUUGACUUUGGAUUUACUAGUGGCAAGUUCAAUGGCAGCUCCAUCUGUGCUUUUGAGGAACCCGGUAAGGGACGUUGAUCGGGAGUUCACUGUGGUUAGUGGCCGGGGGAAGUUUAGGAUGGCCAGAGGGUUUUGCAAGCUUAAGUGCAUUUUCUUCAAUGAGACUAAUGGUUCUAUUGUAGAGUACACUGUGGUAGUGAGGCAUUAUUGAGCUUGGUCUGUAUCUUAAUAUAAUAAAAAUAAAAAAACUCAUCAAACAUUUCCUAAGGUGCAGUGAAAUUAGAACUAAUUCAGAUUAUGGGACAAUCCCUUGCAAAUUUAUCGCUUGCAAGUGAUAUGUUUGUCUUCCAUGUGUUAUGCUUGCUUCUAUGUUUAGCUUAAACUAUAACUAUGUUUUAAUUUUUUUCAAAAUUCUAGAGACAUAUUGACUUGAUUGAGGCCGAGAUUCGAACUUUGGUAUAAGAUUAAGUACUCAGCUACUAAAAUUAUAAGCCCUUGCAAAUUAUGAUAUGUAAACACAUUUCCUGUAAUGUUCUUCGAAAUACUAGUUACUGGCUAAAAAAUUUAUCAAGCUAAUGACCAUCAUAUCUUACAUAUGGCCGAAUUAAACAUCAUCAAUAAGCUGUGCAGUUGGGCGUUUGAUGGAAAGAAAGCACAGUUGGGACUUUAUUCCAAGGAAAAUCAGUUGUGCUUCAAUUUAAGGAACUCUGUUUACACUCCAAUCUCGUCUUUGGACACCCAUUAAUGUUGUUUUAAAAAUAUAAUAACAAUUAUAACCCAUUAAUAAGAUUACUAUAAUGGGCUUUGUUACGUUUAUAUUAAAAUUUCAAUUUCUCGGGCACUCACAAAAUAUAAUUAAACCUCACCCUUCCACUCUCACUAAUACUAUACCUAUUAUUAGGCCUAAUCAUUUGGCCCGUGGGCUUGUGAGCCGAUGGGGGUCCGUCCGGCCCGGUCCGUUAUGGGCUUUGAGAUGGCCCGGCCCGCCUUAGGCCAUGCUAGGUUUGGGCUUGGCUCACAUACAUAUAUAAUUAUGUAUAAAUAAGAGUUUAGGAUUAUGAUUAUAUCACUUAAAUCACAUAUAUAAUUUGUUUCAUUUCAUUUACUUUUCUUUACUCAUUCCUAGUUUAUAAUUGGAUGAUUAGCACAUUAAUUUGUGUCAAUUAUUAAUACAAAAAUUAUAUAUAUAAAUAAGAUGAAUAACAUAUCAUAUCACCAAAUAUAAUCAUAUCACGAAACAUAAUCGUACCACAAAAUAUAAUCAUGUUUUUCUUGAACACAUCACCAAACAUUUACAUAUUUAUUUAUACCAUCCUUUAAAAAAAAAUAUCUUUUUGAUACUUAUUAUUUUUUAAAAUUAUUUCUUAAAACGUAUUAUGGUCUAAUUAUGUAAUAACCUCAAAAAUAAUACUUGGUUUUAUUAUUUUUGUGGAAAAUCUUAUUAAGUUGUGUGACUUUAUUGGGUAUUUUAUGAAUUUGGUUUGAUGUGAAAAUAUUGAAAUUAAGUGAGUUUAAUCUCAAAUUUAGACUAAAAUGCCCUUAUGAUUAAGUUUAUGAUUUUUUUCGAACGAAGUAGGCCUGUUUUAGCCCGGCCUGGCCUAAUGGGCUUUCUCAAGCCCGGCCUAUGGGUCGGGCUUGGGCUUUGAAUUGUCUAAAAAAACCCGACCCGGUUUUUUCUCUCUCCUCUUUAAAGCCUGGGCCGGCCUGGUCCAAGCUCGUUAAAUUUGGGUCGGACUAACCCGGCCCGGCCCAUUGACGAGCCCUAUGUAUUAUUUCUCUAACUUCUUAACCACAACCCAUAAAUCACUAAUUCUUAUGUGAAAUAAAUGUAACUAAAUUAUGUGGAAAGAGGUGGACCAAAAAAAAAAUUAUGUGGAAAGACUACAAUGUACAAACAACUUGUCGUCUAUGAUAACUCUAAUAAGGAAAAAGUAUGAUUUGGUGUGUCUUGGGACACUUUUUUUUCUUCCGGUUUUGACAUUGAAAAAUUUUGAGCUGCGACACAUGCAGUGACCAGAAACCACACAACUCAUAAAUCUGUAGUUAGGAAACCAUACAUCAUCAAGAUGUAUGGCCAACACCAACCACAAUUUUUUAUUUUGGAGAUACAUCAACCACAUAUUUAUGAGUAAGUAAUAAUAAUCUUGGAAAUAUCAAAUUUUUUAAAUCUCAACUGAUGUAACAAUGUUUCAUUUAUUUAUAUUUCAACUCAUCGCGAAUAUCAUUUAUUUAGAUUGCCAUAUUAUGUGUCACCCUAAAAAAAACUGAUCUUGUAGCAUAUUAGUUUAUAUUAGAAAGUUGCAAUAGUAGAACUUGGUUUAACAAGGUGGCCUUUGAGUGAGGUCAGAUCAAAUAGAAGAACAAAAAUUUCAUUGAAUGGAACUUUACUUUUGGACCUUAGGGUUAGGUUACAUCCUAGGUGUAUUCGUAUGACCACUAGAAACAAUCACGAGAUUCUUGUUUUAAAAUAAGGUGGUCCAAUCUUAAGUUGUCAUAAACAUUGCCUUGUUCUAGAAAUAGUUGGUCCAAUCUUUGUGAUCAUAUUAUUAGUAUUUACAAUCAAUAUAUGUAGUAACUUGUCAUACAAACUUCUAUUCUUUAAAACAAGACUUGCGCGACAAGGUACUUGGCUUUUAGUCAUGACUCGUUAAAUAUUUAGACCAAUUGUCCAUGCUGUUUUUUUGAUCAAAAAUUGUCCAUGAUAAUGUUGAGGCAAGUAGACGUGGGUUUUGUUUCUAUUGUUUUCUAUGCUUCUGGAUAUAGUUCUUUGGUAGCGUGCGAUUAAAGCGUUUCUCAGUGAAUAACUUUUUUGGGCAAAACAUUAGCUUUGAAAAACUCUUCUUCUGAGCAUUCAAUCAAUCAAUGAGUGUAAGUAUACAAGAUCAUCAUGUGCAAGUAAGGAUUUCAGAGGUCACGAUACUUGAGCAAUUCCAAAUACGAACAUACUGUUCUCAUAAGCAAGAAAGAUAUAAUAACCGUGCUAUUUCAAAUAUUGACAUUUCUACAAAGGCAUAGAUGACCCCAACCCACGCCCACCGUGUGCCAUCAUAAGCAUAUCUCCUAAUACAACUAUAUGGAUUACCUAGCAAGUCCAGUGCAACUUUGUGAAACGCAUAUAAGUUCGUUACUCACAUGCCUUAAAAUCAAUUAUGUGGCGUAGUCCAUGAAACAAUUCUCACAAUGAAAUUGUGUGGUUUCUCCAAUGCAGUGUAGUAAAUCACAUAAAAUUGAUUAUUUUCAUGGACCACCUGUGGGAUCAGCUGAGAAACUGAAAGUGCUUGGGUCUAGGAGGUCAGCUCAAGCGCAUUGGAGUCCGGAAGGUUCGCUCAAGCGCAAGCACACUUGAAGAAAAGAAAAAAAAAAAGAAAAAAAAGAAAAAAAAAGGGGUCAUGGACCACCUAGGAUUAGCUAAGAAACCAAAGGCGCUGGAGUCCAGGAGGUCAGGUCAAGCGCAUUGGGGUCCGGAAGGUCCGCUCAAGCGCAAGCACACCCAAAAAAAAAAAAAAUCAUGGACCACCUGGGAUCAGCUAAGAAACCGAAGGCACUAGGGUCCAGGAGGUCAGCUCAAAUGCAUUGGGGUCCAAAAGGUCCCCUCAAGCGCAAGCACACACCGAAAAAUAAAAUAAAAAAGUCAUGGACCACUUGGGAUCAGCUGAGAAACCGAAGGCGCUGGGGUCAGGUUAGCUCAAGCGCAUUAAAGAUCCGCUUAAGCGCAAGCACACCCAAAAGAAAAAAAAAAUGUCAUGGACCAUCUGGAACGUGGGUUGGGUGGGUGGGGUCCGACUGUAAGUGCAUAAAGGUGGAGAUGGCUGGGUUAGGUGCGGCUACAGAUGGCUGGGGUUGGGUGGGCGUGGGGAAAAUUGGUGGGUUGUGGGCUGCUGGGUUGGGGAGGACGGUGGGGAGUCUAAGGAAGAUGGGGUAGCAGAGAGACAAAUGAAAAUCAAAGUAGAAUGAGAAUAAAGAAGGCUGGUUUUCAAUUUCUAAAAAUAUGGUUAUGGAGAAAACAAAGGGUGGAGAAGGAUUUUUAAUAGCAUACUAGCCUCUCUGCACGCGCUUCCGCGCUUGCGAGAGGUUUUUUUAAAAAAAUAAGUAAAUUUCUUUUAGAAUUAAAAAAGAUAAUGGUAGUUGUGUUCCAUAAAAAUAGGAUCUAUUAUCUGCUUUUUCUUUUUCUUUUAAUUUUUUUAAAUAUGAAAAAGUGUGAAUUUAUCAUAUUAUCCUCAUUUAAUUAAUAAUUUGAAUUCUUAAUGUUUGCAUUAACCAAGGGCAUUUUCUGGUAUUUUGAAUGUUUCACCAUUCUCUGCCUUUUGCUUUAUAUAUAUAGAUAUAUACUAGCCUCUCUGCACGCGCUUUUGCACAUGCGAGAGGUUUUUUUAAAAAAAAUUUAAAUUUAUUUUAGAAUUAAAAAAGAUAAUGGAUAGUUGUGUUCCAUAAAAAUAGGAUUCAUUAUCUGAAUUUUCUUUUAAUUUUAAUUUUUUUAAUAUGAAAAAUUAUGAAUUUACCAUAUUAUCCUCAUUUAAUUAAUAAUUUCAAUUCUUAAUGUUUGCAUUAACCAAGGGUAUUUUCUGGUAUUUUGAAUGUUUCACCAUUCUCUGCCUUUUGCUUUAUAUAUAUAGAUAAACCUUAAACGGCACAAAAAUACUUUUCGUGCCCUAUGAAAAGCACAAUUAAUCGUGCUUUCAAAUUGUAAUAAUAAUUUCAUAGCCUCACUUAUUACUCACAGUGAAGUGACAUAGUAAAAGGUAGUAUUGACAUGGAUAUUAGGCACAAAUCUCGUGUCCAAAUUUCAAUGGGCACAAAUAGAUUCUUUUUGUACUCGUCUUAGACACAAACCUACAGUGUUUUAUGUGUAAUGAAGUUGAAAAAGACACGAUCCUUCUUUUGUGCUCUAUAAAAUGCGUCUUUAGAGCAGUUUUGUAGUAGUAAAAUAAACUGUACAUGCCUAAUUAUGUAGCAUGCGAUCAUGUUGUUAUACUAGAAUUGCUUAAAACUUUCAUGUGAACACGAAAUGACAAGAAUCGUAAGAUAAAGUUGCUCCAACCAAUAAUCAAAUACUCGAAACAAAGAAAAAUUGCAGUCUACUAACAAAGAGAAAUAUGGGGGUCAUAUUAAAAGAAUAAACGAUAGUAGGACUCAACAUAUAAAAAGAUUUUAAAAUAACUCAUCAAAAGAGCUUCGAGUGUGAAUUGCAUUGCUCUCGAUCCACCAUGUACACACGUUGGUACGUUGGUAGUUGGUUUCUGGUAAUCUGAACAGACAUAUAUACCCUUGAUUUGGGACCAGACCAGCUGUAAUCAACUUUGAAGGAAAAUGUGUGCCUCAUACAAGUACGGAAAAAGAUAAAAAAGAAAGAGAAUAUAAUUUCAAUCCCACUUCGGGGCUGCAAGGGUUUUCAUUCACACAACCUGAAAUAUGGGAAGGUUCUGUUUACAUAUAUAUAUUCUCUCUAUUUCUAAAGCAAGCAUGAAAGAAUGAUCAAAUCAACUAUCCAAGUGUGUCAGCUGGCAGAUUGCAAUUGGUGCUAGCUGGUUCUUCUUGUGGUCACAGACUCACCAUACAACACUAAUUUUAUCUUAUCUUAUCUUUUGGUGGGAAACAUGAGCCUUGAAUUGUCCCCUCAAUCAAAUUCAAAUCAAACUCAAGUGCUUGAGUGAGUGUUCAUGGUGGGGGGCAAUGUAGAUUAAGUUAUGGGACCAGAGAAACUUUUGGGAUCCUAUAUUUCUAAGUUUGAAGUUGUAAAUUAAGUUAUAGUGAUCAUGCUCCAAUGGCACAACCAAGCCUCUCUCACUUCUCAUCCUUCCUUUUGAUUCUUCUUCUCUUUGCAUUGUCACUUGGGCAACAAACAGCUGCAGGACAUGGACUCUCAAUCAAGGAAGCCACCAUAGACGAUCUCCAACUAGCUUUCAAGCACAACAAGCUCACCUCAAGGCAACUUGUCCAGUUUUACCUUGGGGAAAUCAGCAAGCUCAACCCUUUCCUCAAGGGGGUCAUAGAAGUGAACCCGGAUGCGCUUUACCUUGCCGAAAAGGCUGACUACAAGCGCAAGACUAAGGCACCAUCUGUGUCACUCUCUAAGUUACAUGGCAUUCCCAUUCUGGUCAAGGACAACAUUGCAACCAAGGACAAGUUGAACACCACAGCUGGCUCUUAUGCUCUGCUUGGCUCUGUUGUGCCCCGGGACGCCGGCGUGGUGACCAAGUUGAGGAAGGCUGGGGCUGUCAUACUGGGAAAGGCCAGCUUGAGUGAGUGGUCCUAUUGGAGGUCCAAUGAUGCACCUUCUGGUUGGAGUGGCAGAGGUGGCCAAGGGGUGGUGAGUUGAGGAUCAUUAAUUGCCUUAUGUUAUGCUGUGAAACUGUCAAUUUAAAACAUACAUUCAACUAAAAGUUCACAUAACUAAUGUUCGAGAUUGACUGUCAGUCUGAUAAUAUAAGAGAACAGACAUUCUGAGAUUUAACCCACUGAGAUAUAGUUCGGUUGAGUGCAGAACCCUUACAAUUUUAGCACGACGCCAAGCGGCUCAAGUAGCGGGCCGGCAAUAUCAGCGGCAGCAAAUCUGGCAACAGUGACACUGGGGAGUGAAACAGACGGGUCGAUUUUAAGUCCAUCCAGUUGGAACUCAGUGGUGGGCAUCAAACCAACAAUUGGCCUUACAAGUCGAGCAGGGGUUGUUCCAAUCUCUCCAAGACAGGACACAGUCGGGUAAGUGGUGAUCAAUCAAUGUAAAUUAUUUUCACAUUAAUUUAGAUGGCUGGCUUUUUCUGUCUCAUUGUUUGUUGGGGGGUGUUGGAUUGAACAGGCCAAUUACUAGGACAGUAUCAGAUGCCGCAUAUGUUCUUGAUGUCAUUGCAGGCAUUGACAGCAAUGACCUUGCAACAAGUGAGGCAUCGAGGUACAUUCCCAAGGGCGGCUAUGCACAAUUUCUCAGACCUGAUGGACUUAGAGGUAAGAGAAUAGGGAUAGUGAGAGCCUUGUUCAACUUUGGCAGUGACGCUUCGUUGACUCAAACUUUCGAACAGCAUUUCAACACUCUGAGGUAACCAAAAAAAUGUAUUAGUCUCUCCAAUUCGAGACAUAAUACGUUCUGUUUUGAUGACAUAAUAAGUUGUUGGAAUUUGGAAAUUUAAUGUAGGAAAAGAGGUGCUGUUUUGGUAGACAAUUUGGAAAUAGCACAUUUUGAUGAAAUCUACUAUAAUUCAAGUAGUGAAGACAUUGCAUUGUCUGCUGAGUUCAAAAUUUACUUGAACACAUACCUCAAGAACUUGGUGGCUUCACCGGUUCGAUCCUUGGCAGACGUGAUAGUCUUCAACAAUAAAAACUCAAAACUGGUGAGUAAAUAGGAGCAAGGGUUUAUGUAACUUUCAAAUCAUAUGCUCAGAAUUUGUCCUAAGUAAUUGGUUGAGCUACCGGCAAUGCAGGAGAAAGUGAAGGAGUAUGGCCAAGGCCUACUCUUGAAAUCUGAAGCAACAAAUGGGAUUGGCAAUGCAGAGAAGGCAGCGCUGGUAAACUUGGCAAAGCUAUCCAAAAAUGGUUUCGAGAAGCUCGUGACGAAGAAGAGGCUAGACGCAGUGGUGGCUCCAUCUGCAACCGUGUCGACGUUGCUCGCCAUAGCAGGCUCCCCAGGAGUGGUUGUCCCAGCAGGAUAUACUAAAGAUGGGGUACCGUUUGGCAUCUCCUUUGGCGGGCUGAGGGGUUCGGAGCCAAAGCUAAUUGAGAUAGCAUACGGCUUUGAGCAAGCCACUAAGAUUAGGAAGCCUCCUUCACUUAAAAACUUCAAGAUUUAGAGCCCCAUUUUAUUGGUAUUGAAGCUAAUGGGCGUGCUAUUGUAGUCUUACCACAAUAUCAAUAGCAUUAAGAGUACAAGUGAUAGUCUAAACUAUAAGAGAGUUGAUGAAAGGUAUGAAAGAUUUUUUUUUUUUUUUUAAUGUUUACAAGUCAGGGUUUUUUUUUUUCACUGUGCUAGACCCGGUUGGCAACAAAAUAUGUAUGAUUUAAACAUUAUAAACAUGAUCCACAACCAUAGGAAACAUAAUAUAACUAAGUAAAUAAUAAGCCAAAGUGAAACUCCUAUCCCGUGAGAAUUAACCAAUUAAAUAUCAUCUAAUCAAAUUGCUCUCACCAUCAGGGGCGGAUGCACAGAGGGACAAUAGGGGUCAAGUGCCUUAUGGCAACUGAAAAGGUAGCUGUAGAGGUCUCAAACGACCCCAUGGCUGGCUGGUGUGCGACCUCGAAGGUGCACACUAGAUGUUUGAUGAAAGGUUUGAAAGACCUAGUGAUGCUGCUGUUGCGCGCAGCACAGCGAGGUAAUUUUUUUUUUUCAAAAUCACAUGGCCAAAACAACGUUGUUUUGGUCCAAGCGUAUUCAAAUUUUUUUUAAUGACCUGACUUCAAAACGACGUCGCUUUAAGCCAGCUUUUAUAAAAUUUAAAUUUAUAAAAAUAAAAAUAAAAGAACAGAACCCACCCUUUUUUUUCACAUUUACACCAGGUCUUAAAUAUGUUGAUCUUUAGAGCACUUCCAGCGCGCGUUUUCAACCCGGGCAAGAGGGGCCCAAAGGCCACAAUCCAACUCCACCGCGCCAAGUCCAGCCAGGGCAAGGUUUGGGUCUCACGAGCCUCGUAAGCCCACAAGCAAAUUCAGCUUGAGCUGCUACCUAGGCAAAAUGACACAAUGCUGACGUCAUAAUGAUGUCAUCAAUCAAGAAAGAUUUUGAAAAAAAAUACCAAAAUUUCAGAAUUAUAUAUAUAAAUAUCUAGUCAUAUUCUUUACUUCCUACAUCAAAAACUUCUUUCAAAUUCAUCUCCUCAUAUCUCAUGUGAAUAGUAAUUGCCCUUGUCAUGGCCCAUAGGGGUGGAAACAAAAUUGCAAGGGUUGCCAUUAUUCAUGUGAAUAGUGACAGCCCUUGCCUUGCCCUUGCCUUGCCCUUGCCCUUGCCUUGCCUUUGCCCAUAGGGGUGAAAGUGCUCUUAUAUCAAUUUCUUCAUAUAUUACAACUGUACUAGUACAAACACCCCUUUUACUUGCCCAGCUAGACUCACCCCCCCAAAUGAAUAUUUCUUCCUCCUCUCAUCAACAAUUGAUUAAGGGGUUAUUGAUAGUGUUUUGAUUAAUUGAUUAAUGCUUGUGUUUUGAUUAAUUGAUUAGGGCUUUGUGUUUUGAUUAGUUUAUUAGGGCUUUUUUUUAAUAUUUGAUUAGGGUCUUGUGCUCAGGUUUUUUUUACAUGUUUUGUGUUUUGAUUAGUUGAUUAGGAAUGAAAAUGCUAUUGUUUAAUUUUUCAAUGUUUAUUUUGUUUUGAAGAAAAAUUUCGAAAUCUUUACACUAUGACCCCAUAUUCUAAGAAUCCUAAAUCUGCCACUGCUCACUAUACCUAUUUUUUCUCUAACUUCUUAACCACAACCCAUAAAUCACUAAUUCUUAUGUGAAAUAAAUCUACUAAAUUAUGUUGAAAGAGUUUGACCAAAAAAAAAAAUUAUGUGGGAAGACUACAAUGUACAAACAACUUGUCGUCCAUGAUAACUCUAAUAAGGAAAAAGUAUGAUUUUGUGUGUCUUCGGAUACUUUUUUUUAUUCCAGUUUUGACAUUGAAAUUUUUUGAGUCGCGACACAUGCAAUGACCAGGAACGACACAACUCAUAAAUCUGCAAUUAGGAAACCACACAUCAUCAAAUUGUGUGGCCAACACCAACCACAUAUUUUAUUUUUAUUUUUGAGAUAUUGAGUAAUAAUAAUCCUAGAAGUAUCAAAAAAUUUCAAUAUCAACUAAUGUGGUAAUUCUUCAUUUAUUUAUAGUUCAAUUCACCGUGAACAUCAUUUAUUUAGAUUGACAUAUUAUGUGUCACCCUAAAAAAAAAAACUGAUCUUGCCCCACAUUAAUUGAUAUUAGAAAGUUGCAAUAGUAGAACUUGGUUUAACAAGGUGGCCUUUGAGUGAGGUUAGAUCAAAUAGAAGAACAAAAAUUUCAUUGAAUGGAACUUUACUUUUGGACCUUAGGGUUAGGUUACAUCCUAGGUGUAUUCGUAUGACCACUAGAAACAAUCACGAGAUUCUUGUUUUAAAAUAAGAUGGUCCAAUCUUAAGUUGUCAUAAACAUUGCCUUGUUCUAGAAAUAGUUGGUCCAAUCUUUGUGAUCAUAUUAUUAGUAUUUACAAUCAAUAUAUGUAGUAACUUGUCAUACAAACUUCUAUUCUUUAAAACAAGACUUGCGCGACAAGGUACUUGGCUUUUAGUCAUGACUCGUUAAAUAAUAUCAACUCAUAUUUAGAACCAAUUGUCCAUGAUGUUUUUUUGAUCAAAAAUUGUUCAUGAUAAUGUUGAAGCAAGUAGACGUGGGUUUUGUUUUCUAUUCUUGUUCCUUCUAUAGGAAAUAAACUGUACAUGCCUAAUUAUGCAGCAUGCGAUCAUGUUGUUAUACUAGAAUUGCUUAAAACUUCCAUGUGGAUAAUGACAAAAAAUCGUAGGAGAAAGUUGCCCCAAACAAUAAUCAAAUCCUACAUGAAUGUUAAAGCAACAAAGGGGUUAUUAAAAAUUUAUUAAGUGUCAAAUUGCCGUAUAGGUCAUCAAGAGAUGAUAUUGUGAUGAACUAUUACUUUUGGCCUUCUAUCUAUGCCACCAAAAAUUAUCCAAUUUGUGAACGGUUAUCUAUGAUAUAAGGCUUUAUAAUUCUUUUUUUUAGUUCCCAACAGAAUCAUGGACUGUAUAUGAAGUUUUAAGUAUUAUUGUCACAUACCCGACAUGGUAAUGAUUAUAAUAUUAUGUACACUAUUAUAGGUUAAUACUUUUUAUGGAGGAUUGAGAUACAAAGGCGGCAAAGGUUUUCAUUCACACACUUCUCUCUUCUCCUCGUACGCAUCAAAUAAGGUAGCUUCUUUUUUUUUUUUUUCAAAUUUACCCUUAUUAAUUAUUUAUUGUUAAUUAAAACACAUUAACCAGUUGGGAAUUUUCCUCUUCUCCCAACUCCCUAACCCAGCUCAAGAGAAGAAGACGUCAGAGCCUAAUUUGGAUCCCACCAUCGCAUUCAUUGAUACCAACCUCAUAUCAGAAAGCUCCAUGUUUUUUUUUUUUUUUUUGGGUUGCCUGCCCUAUUUCAUAUAUUCUCUCCGUUUCUGAAAUAAGAAAAAAAGAAUAAUAAAAUCAACUUUCCAAUUGUGUCAGCUGACAGAUUGCAAUUGGUGCUAGCUGGUUCUUCUUGUGGUCACAAACUAAUCAUGCAACACUGAUUUUCUAUUCUUUUAGGUGGGAAUAUUAGCUACCAACUAGUCUAGUCACCUUAAUCAAACUCAAUUGCUUCACGGAAGUGGCCAAUGGGACCAGAGAACUUCUCAUUCCAAACAACCAAAAACUCAUAAAAUGAUCAUGAAGUCAAUCAAAUUGCAAAUUAUUAAGAAGUGAAUUGAGGGGUACUUUUCGCUUUUGGGACCCUAUAUCCAUGGCACAAUUUCUAAGUUGAAGUUGUAAAUCAAGUUCUAGUGUUCACUCCUCCAAUGGCACAAGCAAGCCCCUCUCACUUCUCAUCCUUCCUUCUGAUUCUUCUUCUCUUUGCACUGUCACUUGGGCAACAAACAACUGCAGGACAUGGACCCUCAAUCAAGGAAGCCACCAUAGACGAUCUCCAACUAGCUUUCAAGCACAAGCAGCUCACCUCAAGGCAACUAGUCCAGUUUUACCUUGGGGAAAUCAGCAGGCUCAACCCUUUCCUCAAAGGGGUCAUAGAAGUGAACCCGGAUGCGCUUUAUCUUGCGGACAAGGCUGACUACGAGCGCAAGACUAAAGCACCAUCUGUGUCACUCUCUAAGUUACAUGGCAUUCCCAUUCUGGUCAAGGACAGCAUUGCAACCGAGGACAAGUUGAACACCACAGCUGGCUCUUAUGCUCUGCUUGGCUCUGUUGUGCCCCGGGACGCCGGUGUGGUGACCAAAUUGAGGAAGGCUGGGGCAAUCAUACUGGGAAAGGCCAGCUUGAGUGAGUGGGUCUAUGGGAGGUCCAAUGAGACACCUCCUGGUUGGAGUGGCAGAGGUGGCCAAGGGGUGGUGAGUUGAGGAUCAUUAAUUGCCUCCUGUAUACCUUGUUUGAUUAAUUUAAACGGUUAAGUUCUCUUGAUAGAAACUUGGUAUGUUAUGUUGUGAAACUUUCAAUUUGAAACAUACAUUCAACUAAAAGUUCACAUAACUAAUGUUUGAGAUUGACUGACAGUUUGAUAAUAUAAGGUAACAGACAUUCUGAGAUUUAACCCACUGAGAUAACAGACAGUCUGAUAAUGUUCGGUUCAGUGCAGAACCCUUACAAUUUCAACGCGACGCCAAGCGGCUCAAGUAGCGGGUCGGCAAUAUCAGCGGCAGCAAAUCUGGCAGCAGUGACACUGGGGACUGAAACAGACGGUUCAAUUUUAAGUCCAUCCAGUUGGAACUCAGUGGUGGGCAUCAAACCAACAAUUGGCCUUACAAGUCGAGCAGGGGUUGUACCAAUCUCUCCAAGACAGGACACGGUCGGGUAAGUGGUGAUCAAUCAAUGUAAAUUAUUUUUACAUUAAUUUAGAUGGCUACCUUUUUCAGUCUCAUUGUUUGUUGGGGGGUGUUGGAUUGAACAGGCCAAUUGCUAGGACAGUAUCAGAUGCCGCAUAUGUUCUUGAUGUCAUUGCAGGCAUUGACAGCAAUGACCCUGCAACAAUUGAGGCAUCGAGGUACAUUCCCAAGGGCGGCUAUGCACAAUUUCUCAGACCUGAUGGACUUAGAGGUAAGAGAAUAGGGAUAGUGAGAGCCUUGUUCAACUUCGGCGGUGACGCUUCGUUGACUCGAACUUUUGAACAGCAUUUCAACACUUUGAGGUAACAAAACCAUGUAUUAGUCUCUCCAAUUCGAGACAUACGUUCUGUUUUGAUGACAUAAUAAGUUGUUGGAAUUUGGAAAUUUAAUGUAGGAAAAGAGGUGCUGUUUUGGUAGACAAUUUGGAAAUAGCACAUUUUGAUGAAAUCUACUAUAAUUCAAGUAGUGAAACCAUUGCAUUGGCUGCUGAGUUCAAAAUUUACUUGAACACAUACCUCAAGAACUUGGUGGCUUCGCCAGUUCGAUCCUUGGCAGACGUGAUAGCCUUCAACAAUAAAAACUCAAAACUGGUGAGUAAAUAGGAGCAAAGGUUUAUGUUACUUCCAAAUUAUGCUCAGAAUUUGUCCUAAGUAAUUGGUUGAGCUACCGGCAAUGC
rnacentral:lncRNA from 1 species